rnacentral:lncRNA from 1 species
GCCACCCUGAACUACAUAGCAAGACCCUGUCUCAAAAAACAAAGCAAAAAAUAGUUUUAUGACUUCUAGAUUUCAAGUCCUUUCGGUAACUUUGGGGGAGGGCACUAGGGAUUGAGCCCAGCAAUGCUCUACCACUGAGCCAUCCGCCAAGACUCUAAUGGCUGACUUUAACAACCACUCUACUCCCAUUCCUUUCCCCCUUCACCUCCACGUCCCUAUGAUACAACUGCUACUGUUCUGCCUAUGGAGUAGUACAACAAGAAAGCAUGUUCUGGCACUAACAGGAGCUAAGCAAAAGAACUAGAAAAUUAGUAGAUUAGAGAAUUAGGGCCACAGGGACUCUGAUCUGCUCUGUGCCUUUUCUACUGCAGGCAACAGAUGCCCUUAAUGAGGUGUUUCUGGGAAAUAGGCUUCAAGCGGCUACAUUCUGACUCUUUCCUCAGCUUCUCAUGACACUGCUCAUCCAGAUUCACCACAGCAUUGGCCUAACCAUGUCUGAUGUGGCCAUCCCAAGUGGCCUGUAUACAGAGCAGAAAAUGUCGACAGAGGUCACACCUUUGUGUUUCGCCGUGCAGGCCACAAAGACUCUACUUUUCAGAACAUCAUGCAGGUGGGAAUUUGACAUAAUGGAAAAGAAUAAAGGAUGGACUCUCGUAGAAGAGAAAGAUUGCCACGUUCAGGGAGUAUUUCUCCUUGCCAAGUAAGGAUUCCUGGUCAUGUGUACACCACCUGCUCUAUGUCAGUAUUGUUUUAGGUAUUUUUCCUCCUUUUAUUCUCAUAGCGACUAAGGUUGGGUCACGUUCUUAUAAGAUGGUGGGCAAUAGCCAUACUGCCAGGCAACCUUUCCAGGAGACCUGGCUCUGCCGUAUCCUCCUGCACACUGGAAGCGGCACAGAAACUUCAGGGGGUCCCCACCCUGAGAAAAUGCCCCUGGGCGGGAGCAUACCUGAGAGUCAUUCUGUUCUGUUUUGCAGUGCAUUGCUAGAAAGAAAUCACCACCUUGCAUGCAAGAUCAUGUACUUGUUAGUCCCACUUCUUAACCGAGGAAAUGAUAAACAUAAGCUCACAUCUGCAGGCUUUUUUGUGGAGCUCCUUCAGAGUCCCGUGGCCAGAAGACUGCCCAGCAUAUACUCCCUAUCCCGCUUGAAAGACUGGCUGCAUCAUGGAAAUAAUCUCUUUAAAAUGCUUGCCCUGAGGGGGCUGUGCAAUCUUGUCAGACACUGGGAGAUGAGGGAAGACAUCAAGAGACUGUUGCCGUCCAUCUUAGACAGCUUAUGUGAAACUGAUGAAAGGAUUGUUUUGUUGGCCAUCCAGAUACUCCAGAAGCUUGUCAGGAUGAUGGAUUUUACAACCCUGGCUGCCAUGUUGAGGAUCCUGUUCUCUUUAUUUGGUGAUGUGAGACCUGAUGUUUAUCAUUUCUCCAUGACCCUUUUUGGAGCCUCCAUUAAGUCUGUGAAACACACACAUAAAAAGGGCGUAGAGAAUCAAGUCCUAGAAAGCUUGAUCCCACUGCUUCUGUAUUCCCAGGAUGAAAAUGCUGCAGUAGCUGAGGUAAUACCUACUGCUUUCAGCCAUAAAUAACUCUAAAUCCAUAGCCAACUCUGCAAAUAAGUAUUUGUAUAUUUGUGGGCAGAGACUUUACAGUACAGUCUUUGUUCUCUAUGUCCUCUGAUACACAGCUAUGUUUCCAUUAUUUUUCCCUAAAUGAAUUGUGAAAAAUCUUACUCCUAGUUUCUACGUAGCAAAGUAUGGCCCUCUGUGGGUAAGAAUAAUAUAUUAGCCCACACUAUAGCUGCACCCUAAUAUUCAUCCUAGGCUAGAGCCCUAAAUAUAGAGCCUAACGCAACAAACUUUUUUUAUACUAGGGAUUGAAUCCAAGGAGUGCUAAGCUAUAUCUCCAGCCCUAUUUUUAAAAAGUUAUAAUCAUCAUCAUCAUUAUCAACAUGUUUUCUCUAGUUUCCCAAGCUGGCCUCAAACUUUCAAUCCUCCUGCCUUAUCCUCAUAGGUAGUUGGAAUUACGGGCAUGCACUACCCUACCU